CCUGCCCCUAGAGGCUUUGCAGGUGUGGCUGCUGUGUCACAUGUGCGUCAGUAGGUGGCAGAGAGGAGAGAGGCUAUGUCUACGCUCAGUGUUCUGACCUGUGAACAUCUGAAUGAUUUGUAGCCUAACACU